rnacentral:rRNA from 1 species
GAUGAACGCUGGCGGCGUGCCUAAUACAUGCAAGUCGAGCGAACGGACGAGAAGCUUGCUUCUCUGAUGUUAGCGGCGGACGGGUGAGUAACACGUGGAUAACCUACCUAUAAGACUGGGAUAACUUCGGGAAACCGGAGCUAAUACCGGAUAAUAUUUUGAACCGCAUGGUUCAAAAGUGAAAGACGGUCUUGCUGUCACUUAUAGAUGGAUCCGCGCUGCAUUAGCUAGUUGGUAAGGUAACGGCUUACCAAGGCAACGAUGCAUAGCCGACCUGAGAGGGUGAUCGGCCACGCUGGAACUGAGACACGGUCCAGACUCCUACGGGAGGCAGCAGUAGGGAAUCUUCCGCAAUGGGCGAAAGCCUGACGGAGCAACGGCGCGUGAGUGAUGAAGGUCUUCGGAUCGUAAAACUCUGUUAUUAGGGAAGAAAAUAUGUGUAAGUAACUGUGCACAUCUUGACGGUGCCUAAUCAGAAAGCCACGGCUAACUACGUG